AGAUUGAACGCUGGCGGCAGGCCUAACACAUGCAAGUCGAGCGGCAGCACGGGUACUUGUACCUGGUGGCGAGCGGCGGACGGGUGAGUAAUGCCUAGGAAUCUGCCUGAUAGUGGGGGAUAACGUUCGGAAACGGACGCUAAUACCGCAUACGUCCUACGGGAGAAAGUGGGGGAUCUUCGGACCUCACGCUAUCAGAUGAGCCUAGGUCGAUUAGCUAGUUGGUAGGUAAAGCCUACAAGGCUACGAUCCGUAACUGGUCUGAGAGGAUGAUCAGUCACACUGGAACUGAGACACGGUCAGACUCCGUACGGGAGCAGCAGUGGGAAUAGUUGGACAAGUGGACGAAAGCCUGAUCCAGCCAGUCGCCGCGUGUGUAGAAGUAGGUCUUCGGAUUAGUAAAGCUUAACGUUUAAGGUUAGGGAAGG
rnacentral:rRNA from 1 species